UUUAGGGGCAACACAAGCUGAGCUUCAGUUGCAAUUUGUUUAGUUCUAAACCUUUUCCAUUCAUAUUUAAUCUUGUUUAAUCAUCUCUUUGCAGUUACAUGGAAGAAAUAAGAGUUCAUGUGCUAUCAAUUUAAUUUAGUGGAUAAGAUUUCAUGUUUAACUGGCUACCGCAAGGUGGGGCUGGUGGUCUAAGUUUUCUGCUUUGUGUGAGAGACUAUACUAAGCAAAGCAACUGCUGAUGUUGACAAAGCGGUCCAUGAUGAGACUGGUUUCUUUUAGGUGGUUCUGUUUUUUGAAAAUAUGGGCUUGGAUAAAGAAACUAUUGGGAGAAUUAUUUUUCGCUGCCAGCAUUGAUAAAACUCUUUAGAGGAAGAUUGAAUUCCUUUCUAGGGUUGGCGUUUUUUAAGCUUAUUUUCCUGGGAUAAUUAGAAAAUAUCCGGAAUUACUUGUAACCAACA